UACGGAGGGUGCAAGCGUUGUUCGGAAUUACUGGGCGUAAAGCGCACGUAGGCGGAUUGUUUAGUGAGGGGUGAAAUCCCGGGGCUCAACCCUGGAACUGCCUCUCAUACUGGCAAUCUCGAGUUCGAGAGAGGUGAGUGGAAUUCCGAGUGUAGAGGUGAAAUUCGUAGAUAUUCGGAGGAACACCAGUGGCGAAGGCGGCUCACUGGCUCGAUACUGACGCUGAGGUG
rnacentral:rRNA from 1 species